rnacentral:tRNA from 1 species
GGUCUAGUGGUGUAAUGGUUAGCAUCGGUGAUUUGGAAUCAUCUGACUCAGGUUCGACUCCUGGCUGGGCCC